GAAUGUUUUUUAAAAAAAAUCAAUGCUUUUGUAAUUAUACUUUACCACAGGCCUGGGAAACAUGCAGCCCUCACAAAGUUACACCUUGGCCCUUGACUGGCAGUACUGUGUUAUCAGUUAAUGCUCAGAACAUGACACCUGAAUCAUUUUUUUUAAUGUUACAGAUUACUGUAAAAGGAAGGAGUGCAUCAGGUUGAUUUGCCAUCAUUGGGGAAAAAAAAGAAGCAGGUAUCAAUGGGGAGACAAAGAGUACCAACUAGGAGCCGAAUCUUUGGAGGAUAAGACCACUGAGGAUCUGGUUACACCUAACGCUUGUGGCACCUUACAUGCUCUAAGAAAUGCACACAAACUGAAUAUGGCAAGGUUGGAGAGAAAGUACAUCAAGCAACAGGAAAAUUGAUGGGACAAGUGCCAGCUGUGGGCAAGACUUGCCUUAUACUAAGUCCCAAGGUCAGUCUUUCAGAGCUGUUAAAUAUAACCAACACCUGCCACAAACAAACAAUGGGCAAAUACAUAUGGGCCUGAUUCUGCGAACACAACUGGGCAUAGUGUUUACUCCCAUCAGUAGUCCCAUUGACUUACAGUGGUAAGUACUACAGUAGGUAUUGUUGGCAGGAUCUGGCCUGCAGUGCUCCAAUGAGCUAGUUAAUGAUUUCUGGAAAGUAAACAAGCUGUUCUGUCAACAGAGUAAUGAUUUCAAGGUGCUGUGCUAA